rnacentral:rRNA from 1 species
AUGGUUAAGUGACUAAGCGUACACGGUGGAUGCCUUGGCAGUCAGAGGCGAUGAAAGGCGUAAUAACUUGCGAUAAGCCCAGAUUAGGUAGUAAUAACCUUUUGAGUCUGGGAUUCCUGAAUGGGGAAACCCACUUGCAUAAGCAAGUAUCCUGUUGUGAAUACAUAGCAACAGGAGGCAAACCGGGGGAACUGAAACAUCUAAGUACCCCGAGGAAGAGAAAUCAACCGAGAUUCCGAAAGUAGCGGCGAGCGAAAUUGGAUUAGCCCUUAAGCUUUUAAUGAUGCACGUGAAGAGUCUGGAAAGUCUCGCAAUAAAGGGUGAUAGCCCCGUAACCGACACAUCAUAAUCAGUGAAAACGAGUAUGGCGGGACACGUGAUAUCCUGUCUGAAUAUGGGGGGACCAUCCUCCACGCUAAAUACUACUGACUGACGAUAGUGAACCAGUACCGUGAGGGAAAGGCGAAAAGAACCCCUG